GGGGAUAAAUUAAUUAAAUAAAUAAUAAUAAAAAAAUUUUUAAUAUAUUUUAAUGGGGGUUAAAGUAUAUUUAAAAAAAAAUUUUAAAUUUUAUAGUUUAUUAGUAUUGUAAAUGAAUGUUGAAAUAAAAUGAAAAUUAAAUUAAAUUAAAAGUAAAUUUUAUUUAUUGUAUCUUGUGUAUCAGAGUUUAUUAAAUAUUAUUUUUAGAAAAAAAAAUCUCGAAUUUAAAAGAGUUAAUUAAUUAAAAAAGUUAUUGUUUUAUAAAUAUUUUAAAUAAUUAAUUUGAAAUGAAAUGUUAAUCGUUUUUAAAUAUAUCUAGUUUUUUUAGAAAUAAAUUUAAUUUAAAAUUUAUUUAAAAAAUUAUUAAUUAAUUUAAUUUUUUUUUUAAUUUAAAUUUAAUAUUUUAAGGGAUAAUCUUUAAAUUAAAAUUUUAUAAUAUUAAAUAAAAUAAAAAUUAAAAUUUUUAAAAUUUAUAUUGUUUAUAAAUUAUAUAUUUUUAUAAAAAAUUUUAUUUAUAAAAAAAUUUUUAAAUUAAAUUUAAGUUUUUUAUAAAAAAAUAAUUUUUAAUAAAAUAAAAUUAGUUAUAAUGAUAAAAUUAGUAUAUAAAUAUAUAUAUAUAUAUAUAUAUAUAUUAAUUUAAAUAAAAAUUAAAUUAAAGGAAUUCGGCAAAAUUUUAUAUUCACUUGUUUAUCAAAAACAUGUCUUUUUGGAAAUAAUUUAAAGUCUAAUCUGCCCACUGAUAAUUAUUAAAGGGCUGCAGUAUAUUGACUGUACAAAGGUAGCAUAAUCAUUACUCUUUUAAUUUGAAGACUUGUAUAGAAAGGAUUUGAUGAAAUAUGAACUGUCUCUUUUUUAUAAUUAGAAUUUAAUUUUUUAGUUAAAAAGCUAAAAUUUAUUUAAAAGACGAGAAGACCCUAUAGAGUUUUAUUAUUAAAUUAUUUAUUUAUAUAUUAUAAAUUUUUUAUAUUAAAUUAAUUUAAUAAUUUUAUUGGGGUGAUAAAAAAAUUAGAAAAACUUUUUUAAAAUGAAACAUUGAUUAAUGAAUUUUUGAUCCAUAAUUUAUGAUUAUUAGAUAAAAUUACCUUAGGGAUAACAGCGUAAUUUUUUUUUUUAGUUCAAAUAAGAAAAAAAGUUUGCGACCUCGAUGUUGGAUUAAGAUAAAAUUUAAAUGUAGAAGUUUAAAAUUUUUGAUCUGUUCGAUCAUUAAAAUCUUACAUGAUCUGAGUUCAAACCGGUGUAAGCCAGGUUGGUUUCUAUCUUUAAAAAAAAGAAAUAUUUUAGUACGAAAGGAUUAAAUAUUUAAAAUAAAUUUUAAUAUUAAGAAUAUUAUUAAUAAUAUAUAUAUAUAUAUAUAUAUAUUA
rnacentral:rRNA from 1 species